UGUAGGUGGAAGCAGCGGUGGAGGAGGAGGAUGAGGGAGCCAACACUGUAUUUUAUGGGGGGUUUUUUUGUUUUGUUUUUUUGAUAGCCAACAAAAUAUUGGGACAUACAAAUAAAGAAACAUUUGCAACCUGCGGUGCAUAAAAAAAGACAACUCUAUUCCGCAGAGUAGAUGUUGACAUUAUAGUUGCACAGGAACUUUGUUGAUUCUAGAGAACCUUGGGCAAAUCGCACAUCCCCGUGGUGGCGACUUUGUAUGUGGAUGUGGAUGUCAUCCAUAUCAACUUUCGAUGCCAGUUUCUGCGCCUACCAUGGUGACCAUGGGUUAGGGGGAAUCAGGAUUCCAUUUCAUACGGGGACCCUGAGAAACGGCUACCAAAUGCAAGGAAGGCAGCA